rnacentral:lncRNA from 13 species
GUAAUGACAUUUAAGACAACUGGAUUUAGAAAGUGUCAGCAGAAAAAUGUGCUCACAGGAAUUACUCUCUGUAGACAUCUUAAAGACUACCUGCUAACCGAAGAACAGCUACACGAAAGUAACUACCCUAGACCACAACCCAACAAACCAGGAAGAAUUCUUUUAAACCCAGCUAUGAAAAAACUCUUGCAAAUGAUGAUCCCCUCAGUGGAAGGCAGGGAGCUAUUAUGUCCUAGAGUAGGUGAUUGA